UUUUUUCUUAUUUUACUUUUAUCUAAUGUUUUUUGGAAUCCACUUCAUAUUUAUAUAGAGUAAUAGAUAAAAGAGAGUACAAUGUUGUUUAUAGUAACAACCAUAUUAGCUACAUUAAUUUUUUUAAACAAUUAUAUUUUUUUUUGAUGCAAUUAACCAAGAAUUAGUGUGUGUAGUGUUGAGAUAUUCAUGCCAAAGACUUGUAUGCAUAACAAUAACCUAUAUAAUUCUAAUCUAAAUCAUAUAAAGGAUAAUUGAAAAAUAGAAAUAUCAAGAAAUAAAAACAAUUACCUUGUUGAUAACAAAGACACCAUUGUUGCAUAGCCACAAGAUCUUCAGUGAAUCCAUGAGCUUAUUGAUCUUGAACUAAAGAUUGCUUAUUACAAUCCAUCAUUUUCAUCUAAUACUUGACUAAAGAAGAAAAAUAAAUGUUACUUGUAAACAUUUAACUCUUAGAUGUAUGACUACUAAAGCCAAUAAAAUGUUGUAGAUUUUAUAUUUGUCAAAUAAAUUGAUUUAAGAUUCAAUUGCCACAAUGGUCUAUAUUACUAAUAAUUUGGAAAUUAAGACAUUCAAUGAUUUAUGUGAUAUCAUUUAUUUCAAUAUUAAAGUCAUUUGAUGUUAAAAAUGUUCCUUUUGGUCAAAAGAAGAAACUUCUUGUAAAAUGACUGUUGCCAAUAAACAAAUAUACAUGUAUAUAUAUUAGAAAGAUAUGAGACUUAGAAAAAAAUCAAUAAAAAAAUAAACUCUAUUUUUUCUGCUAAAAAAAGGCUAGAAGGAUGCAACUUUGUUUAAGCACAAGAGAAAGAUAUGCAUUUUUUUUAAAUACUUGAAUAUUUUUUUGGUAAAACCAGUGAUGUAUUCAUCAACAGUGUUUCUGGGUUUAUUUUGUAACACUUGAAAUUCACAAGUGGGAAUUUCGGGUCUAAAGGUUGAACAGUAGCACCCAAACUGGCUCAU
rnacentral:lncRNA from 1 species